GACGAACGCUGGCGGCGUGCCUAAUACAUGCAAGUAGAACGCUGAAGGAGGAGCUUACUUCUCUGGAUGAGUUGCGAACGGGUGAGUAACGCGUAGGUAACCUGCCUGGUAGCGGGGGAUAACUAUUGGAAACGAUAGCUAAUACCGCAUAAGAGUAGAUGUUGCAUGACAUUUACUUAAAAGGUGCAAUUGCACCACUACCAGAUGGACCUGCGUUGUAUUAGCUAGGUGGUGGGGUAACGGCUUACCAAGGCGACGAUACAUAGCCGACCUGAGAGGGGGAUCGGCCACACUGGGACUGAGGCACGGCCCAGACUCCUACGGGAGGCAGCAGUAGGGAAUCUUCGGCAAUGGACGGAAGUCUGACCGAGCAACGCCGCGUGAGUGAAGAAGGUUUUCGGAUCGUAAAGCUCUGUUGUAAGAGAAGAACGAGUGUGAGAGUGGAAAGUUCACACUGUGACGGUAUCUUACCAGAAAGGGACGGCUAACUACGUGCCAACCGCCGCCGUAA
rnacentral:rRNA from 1 species